CUGCCACCGGGACGCGAGGAUCCCCACGGGCCGUUUCGUCGGUCGCCGGGGCCAGCAGCGGGAGCUCUGGUCCGCCCGUGGGGGGAGCGAGUGGCGAGACCGGCCCGGGGCCCU
rnacentral:ncRNA from 1 species